rnacentral:rRNA from 1 species
UACAGAGGUGCCAAGCGUUAGGCGGAAUCACUGGGCUUAAAGCGCGUGUAGGUGGACGGGUAAGUAUCUUGUGAAAUCCCACGGCUCAACCGUGGAACUGCUGGAUAUACUGCUUGUCUUGAGGCACUUAGGGGCAGCUGGAACAAAUGGUGGAGCGGUGAAAUGCGUAGAUAUCAUUUGGAACGCCAAAGGCGAAAGCAGGCUGCUGGGAGUGAUCUGACACUGAGACGCGAAAGCCAGGGGAGCGAACGGG